GUCUCUCUCUCCCCCGGGCCCUUGUUACCCUUAAAAAAAAAAAAAAAAAAUCAAUCCGUCAAUAAAUCAGUAAAAUUUUAAAAAACUACACAGGCCAAGGGUCUGGCUCUAUGUGGCGGUCAUCAGGUUUGUGGCCCUGAGGAGAACUUUGGAAAAGCUCUAGUGGGAUCCCCUGUCUUUCUCAACACCCCUAGAAAGCACCAGGCCUCUUCCUGAGCUUCCAGGGACCCGGAUGGAAAGAAAGCCAGGUGUGUCUGGGUGGGCCAAGCUGGGUCCUUUUCAGCGGGGCUUUUGCAAAACUCUCUGGGACCUGGAGCCGGGUUCAAAACUCCCUUUAAUCCGCUCCCCUCAAACACACUCCCCCUUUCUCUCUCUCUCUCUCACUUUCUCUCUGUCCCCUGCCCGCCCUUGUUACCCUUAAAAAAAAAACAAACAAACAAACAAACAAAGAAACAAAAAAAACUUAAAGAACAAACAAACCCCCAAUAAAUAAAUAAAAUGUUAAAAAAUUGAAUGGGCCAAGGGUGUGGCUCUAUGUGGCUGUCAUCAGAUUUGUGCCCUGAGGAGAGCUUUGGGAAAAAGGUGGACACCUCCCUUUCCCCUUCUGAAAGGAAGUGCUCCUGUCUCUCUCUCCCAUUUGGUCCUGGGACUUGCAACAGAAAAACUUUGAGCAAUAGGCCUAUCUGUCUGUGCGGCAUGUUUUUGGCUUAUGAAAGGGCAGUCUGGGAAAAUCUUUAGCCUUGGGGGCUAGGCUUGUGGGGUCUCCUGUCUUUCUCAACACCCCUAGAAACCACUAGGCCUCUUAUUUAGAUUCCUGGCACUCGAAUGGAAAGAAAGCCAGGUUUGUCUGAGUGGGCCAAGCUGGGUCCUUUUCAGUGUGGCUUUUGCAAAACUCUCUGGGACCUGGAGCCGGGUUCAAAACUCCCUUUAAUCUGCUCCCCCCAACCACAGUCCCCCUUUCUCUCUGCCUCUCCAUGUCUGUCUCUCUGUCUCUCUCCCUCCUAGGGCCUUGUUA